AUUGGAAUAGUGUUGGCCACGGCGAUGACACAAGGACAACAGAUUACUGGAGCCAAAUUGAUAUUCUCUAACACAAACAACGAAGGAAUGAGCAAGAAGUCCAGCAAGCUGUUGAGAAACCUGUGAAAGAAUGCAGAAAACGUUUGACCCAUGUCUUGCAGGCAAUUCCACUAAAAACCAUAAAGUGUCUUAUUCAAGGACAAACCGUGCAAUUCAAAAGUGAGGAAGGACAAGCUAUAUAAAGACAAAUGAUCCAUUUCCACAGAUAACUCCUCUCGGCUUUGGUAUCAGCAACAAAUGAUGAACGAGAUUUGACCAAAGUGGAUCAGACUGCCCACACGGACGGUCCAUGUGCAACAGAAACACGACGCAUGCACAUGAACACGUAUUAAUGGAUCUCUUCGGGCUUCAGAUGGUUUGUGGAGGAUUUCUUCAUUGGCACUGGCUGCGGUGGUACCAUUGCACACUGCUGCCACAUGAGAUUUUCCUCCACCAUCUGUCUCUUUCAACUCUGUAUAUUACAUUUACUCCAUAGGCUUGGAAAUGUAGCUUCCUCCUUUUAAUGGGGA